rnacentral:lncRNA from 10 species
AGAAAGCAAAAGAGGAGACCUUUUGAUGGGAAGAUCCAGGAAGUUUCAUUCAAGCUCAGGAUUGGGUACGACUCAGCAGGGGGAGAAGAGCAGCUUGAAGACACACGCUACCUCCACUUCUUUCCUAAUCCCACAGACUUGAUGAUAGAAAUGUACAACUAUAAACCCAUAAGGGACAAAAAGAGUUAGAGAAGAAACUGCAGCAGAUGUAUUGACAAGACACUGGCAGCUGGAAAUUCUAGUUGGAACAUUGGGUUUCCCUAAAAGCGGAAGAUGAAACAAAGCCUUAUAUGGAAAAUGAACCGGGACUGCAGAAGUGAGAAGGCGAUGACUUCAGACAAAACUUUGGGAUGGCAAAGCAGAGAGAGGCUGAAGUCCAUGCUUGAUGUGGGAAACAGAUCAUGCACAUGGGACUGUCUACCACUGCACUGAAAUCAGCUGGGCAGACAGUUUGUGGCACACAGUGCCUUACAAGUGGUUGCUACAGGCAGGGAAUAGAGAAACCAGGAUUCCAACUGUCUGCAGCGGACAAAGCUAGUAAGAACAAAGAUAGCUCCUAUCACAAGCCCCACCACCUUUGAAGGCUGGAGUGUGAUGUGGAGUUGAUAACAG